UUUUAUACUAAAUUUGAUUCUAACCUUAGAAAAUAUAUUUUUUUAUAAUAAAAAAGUAAAAUAAGAGUUUAUUUUCAGUUUGAUAACAAAUCUACCGGUUAAAUUAAAAUAUAAGGUUGCAGAUGCAGCUAUGUAAUAAUACCGUAAUAAGAGCUUCUUAUGAAGAUAUGAAAGGAGAAUACACCAAGAAAAAUGGAAACAAAUAAGAUUUUCUUUUAGGAAUAUGUGUACCUGUAUAGAAUUUCAUAAGAAAACCUCAUCGAUUGUAACAACAAAAAAGAGUAAAGCUGGGGCAACAAGACUCGAACAUCAAAUCCAUGGACUUGUACUGUACCUCCUUUUGUUAUGAUCUAACAAUAAUUUUAUUCUUAAUGACUGCUCAAGAAAUGUUAGACUGUUAGAAAUGUAUUGUUAUUGUUAUGAAGAGAUGCAGCGUAUUAGAUAUAUUUGCAAAUUAUUGGAAAUAAUGAACAUCCGGUAUAAAUCGGAAAGAAAAUUCUAUAGAAGCAUCAUCGAGCAGUCCAAGGACUUAUUAACUAUGUUUUAAUUGUAUUUAUAAAGUAAUCUUUUUAUAAUAAAUCUUAAUAAAGUUUUCAA